UACAGAGGUCUCAAGCGUUGUUCGGAUUCAUUGGGCGUAAAGGGUGCGUAGGUGGCGCUGUAAGUCGGGUGUGAAAAUUUCGGAGCUUAACUCCGAAACUGCAUUCGAUACUGCGGUGCUUGAGGACUGGAGAGGAGACUGGAAUUCAUGGUGUAGCAGUGAAAAUGCGUAGAGAUCAUGAGGAAGACCAGUGGCGAAGGCGGGUCUCUGGACAGUUCCUGACACUGAGGCACGAAGGCCAGGGGAGCAAACGGG
rnacentral:rRNA from 1 species